UACGGGGGGAGCAAGCGUUGUUCGGAUUUACUGGGCGUAAAGGGCGCGUAGGCGGCGCAACAAGUCACUUGUGAAAUCUCCGGGCUUAACUCGGAGCGGCCAAGUGAUACUGUCGGGCUAGAGUGCGGAAGGGGCAACUGGAAUUCUCGGUGUAGCGGUGAAAUGCGUAGAUAUCGAGAGGAACACCUGCGGCGAAGGCGGGUUGCUGGGCCGACACUGACGCUGAGGCGCGAAAGCCAGGGGAGCGAACGGG
rnacentral:rRNA from 1 species